CCGCCUAGCCGUAGCCCUCUUGCCCGGUGCUGGUCCUGCUCGGUGCUCCGCGCCGUGGAUCGGGGGCUGGCAGUGUAGACCGAACCGGGGCCGAGGGGCUUUUCCGCAGAGCCUCCUGGGGCUCGGUGCGGGGCGCUCAGCUCGACCCCAGCGCAGGGAAUAUUGAGAAGUGCGGCGUCCCCUUCCUCACACGCUUGCGCGUGUUGCGGGGGAACCGUCGACCUUAAAGAAAAAAAGCUGAGGCAAACUUUAUAUAAAAAGUAGAGAGGUUAUUUGGGCCAAGUGUGAAGAUUGCAGCCCGGGAGUACAGCUUCAGGUUGCCCUGAACAUAGGAUUCGCAACAGCUACAAAUGAGGCCAGAGAAGUGACAAGACAGAUGCCAGUCCAGCAGGUGGUCAUGUCCAGAGCGUGCAGCCUCAGGACACGGUCUGGGAACAAAGACUGCUGGAAAGUUGGAAGCUGGCAACAGGCUCUCAGCUGUGAAGUCCCUGGGGUAGGGGAGAAGUGGUCAAAGAAAGCAGAGGACAAAAUUGAAGACACUGGAUAUUCUACCAAGGCUUUGCCUGGAGUGGUGAACUUUCAGAUAUGACCAGACUGCUUUGAGGAAUUGAGGUUGGCUUUAUAGAGCCAAUAAAAAGCUACUUGGAAAGACUGGCCAUGUACCUUGUCUAUACAGUUCCCUUACAAGGUUCCUGACCUUAAGGUAAGUAAAUAAUUUCCCUUUCUGAUAGGUCCAGGAACCUCAGAAUAUUUUGGGGCCUUGAGAAAAGAGGAACUCACCCAGUUAAUGCAGGUUUUACAGGCACAAUCUGGUGAUGAAUCAAUCUGUGGCUUUUCAAACCCUCAAGGCUUUAAAAAGUCUAACCUGAAAUUCUCUAAGAAAAUUCCUCAAAGCCAACUGGAAAAGAACCUUUAUGGUCAGUCACAAUUCUUGUUCCACUUUAUACAAAUAAUGAGUCUGAGUAUAGUGCUAAAACUUAUUUUACAAGUAACUUGGUCCCACUAAGAUUUAUUUUUGGUAGAAAUGGGCAGUUGGAGAGAGAAAAGUUAAGUUUCAGAAGAAAACUGUUGUAUACCUACUAUUAGAUUCCAGCCUGAUGACUGUUUCUGAGUUUUUAUUAUUUUCCUACAAUCCUUAAUUAUUUCCUGGCUACAAGUCUUUAAAGAAGGGCUGGGUUUUAAUUUUCUUUAUGAUGUUUUUAGUUCAUUCAUAAAUUGAAUUUUUCUGUUCAGGCAUACACAUUUCUUUUUGAUUAUAAUUCUUAUGUGUAUUAUAUUUCUACUAUGUAUCUCUCAUUUUUUUGUUUUUUGUUUUUGUUUUGAG